rnacentral:misc_RNA from 1 species
GAUGAAGAACGUAGCGAAAUGCGAUAAGUAAUGUGAAUUGCAGAAUUCAGUGAAUCAUCGAAUCUUUGAACGCACAUUGCGCCCGCCAGUAUUCUGGCGGGCAUGCCUGUCCGAGCGUCAUUUCAACCCUCGAACCCCUCCGGGGGGUCGGCGUUGGGGACCUCGGGAGCCCCUAAGACGGGAUCCCGGCCCCGAAAUACAGUGGCGGUCUCGCCGCAGCCUCUCCUGCGCAGUAGUUUGCACAACUCGCACCGGGAGCGCGGCGCGUCCACGUCCGUAAAACACCCAACUUCUGAAAUGUUGACCUCGGAUCGGGUAGGAAUACCCGCUGAACUUAAGCAUAUCAAUAAGCGGAGGA